rnacentral:misc_RNA from 1 species
CUUGAAAUCACCUCACUUGAGUGUUUUUUAUGAGCUAACCCCACUUGAAUCAUUAACGUUCUAAAGGUUCUGAACUACAAAUUGCCUUUAACCCAACAAUGCUUUUUUGUCUUAAUUAUUAUUUUAUUAAACCAAGUUAAAAGCAAGAAGUCAUUGACAUAUUAGCUUAGAAAAAUAAACAACUAUCUGUUAUUAAUAAAAGGAAAUAGGAUUUAUAACUUUUAAUCUUUUCCCUCUCAGCUAUUAUUCUUGCUAACGGAAUCAAACAAAACCUUGAAAAUAGACAUAGAAAGGGCUUAGAAACAAAAACUGACUUAAAACUCCAGCUUUUACUCCAAAAGAAGGUACCCUUUAAGGACAAGAUUAAGUUUUUGAUGUUUCUUCUUCAAUAUCUAGAAGCCUCUCUCUGGGGCCUGGAUAGCAAAUUAAGUUCUCAGUACUCUCCAAUUUCGAGAGAGAAGAAAGUUGCUAAUUCAAAAGACUUUAUAGAGAGAGUAAAGGGGUUGAACAACCGUUAAUAAAGAAAGAAAGAAAAGGUAAAAUUCAAAUUUUCAAAGAGGAGUGAAUUGUGAAACCAGAAAAGCUUUUCUUGAACAACAUAUAAAUAAAUAUAUAAUAGCUUUCAAAAUUUCUUAGCUUUGCCUAAAGGAUAAAGUUGAAGGGGGAAUUUGGCCAUCUCAAAAAGUAAAAGUUUGCAUAGAAGAUUUCAAAAGCUGAUUAAUUCAUUUUCAUAGCCUUAACAGAGACAGCAGUAAAGGCGAGUAGGAGUUGGAAAGGAGACUGUAGACCCAUGUGGCUGUAAUGGAGGGUUUACAUUGGCAUCGCAAGAAAAAUCCAGGGUCAGAAAUGACUGUUUGGAUGAAAAGAAAAAUAGAGAAAAUAUUUGAUAAGAAAGCAAAGCGUGGAUGCUUGGUGUUGUCCCUUUCUGGGACAAGGAGUUUCAUGCUUGAUUGACAUUACCAAACAAUACUUUUAAAUCAGUAUUUAAAAGUCCCUAAUUUUGCGGUUGCUAUAUUUUUCACG